UGGGGAAUCUUGCACAAUGGGGGCAACCCUGAUGCAGCGACGCCGCGUGAGCGAUGAAGCCCUUCGGGGCGUAAAGCUCUUUCGACCGGAACGAUAAUGACGGUACCGGGAGAAGAAGCUGCGGCUAACUACGUGCCAGCAGCCGCGGUAAUACGUAGGCAGCAAGCGUUGUUCGGAGUUACUGGGCGUAAAGAGUGCGUAGGCGGUUUUCUAAGUUCGGUGUGAAAUCUCCCGGCUUAACUGGGAGGGUGCGCCGAAGACUGGGACGCUGGAGUGUGGGAAAGGCAGGCGGAAUUCCUGGUGUGGCGGUGAAAUGCGUAGAUAUCAGGAGGAACGCCGGCGGUGUAGACGGCUUGCUAGACCAUAACUGACGCUGAGGCACGAAAGCGUGGGUAGCAAACA
rnacentral:rRNA from 1 species